AAAGUUAUCUAGGGAUACAACAUGUAGAUAGUCUUUAGUUAAAAUGCCAAACGUUGAUGGCAUCAGAUAUCUGUAAAAAGUCAUUACAUUAGCCAGAAAUAGAUUUUAGUAUUUCAAAGAAUAUAUAUAUAUUCAUAACCGAAAGCACCAAGGUGUUACAAUAUACAAAUUAAAACAGACAGACGCAUUAUUGAAAGAGCAAGGGAGAAAGAGCGUCUUUACCAGCAAGGAAAAACGACAUUUAAAGCCUGAAGCAACACUCUUUCUCCCUCUUUCAGUGAUGCAAAUCACAAAGUUUGAAAGAGAUGUCAAAAAGUUUAAUGGCCAAUAAGAUAGGCCCAGGCAACACACCAGAAUAGAACAAAC
rnacentral:lncRNA from 1 species